CAGAACCCCAAAAAACCGACUCUCUUUUUCUCUCUCUUGUUCCAGACGGCUAGCUCCGCUUGCACUAACUUCAAUAAAAUGAUGCCCCAAAACAAGGAGUAUUCUGGGCAUGUUAAGCAACUGUCAUCGACUCAGAACUUCAUCAAACACCCGUCAGACAGAUCUACACCCUUCGCCCUUCGCGCCUUCGGCAAUGGUUUUUCUUUUCUUUAUAAAAAGGCUUGGUAGAUUAUAUAUACAUAUAUUAGAAUAUGCAGUUCUAGGGUUGUUGAUCAGAUUUUGUUAUAGGCGAUGACAAUCUGCUCUUUUCCUUGCAAUAUUUCCUUUAUUUUCUUGUUUGCCAAACACUAGAUCUCUUGUUGCUUUAGCAGCCCCCUUCAUUUGCCAUCACAAUUGUAUACAGGCCAUCUUUGAUAUACUACGUAAGCAAAAGGUCCAUAGCAAUAUCACACCCAUAUCACUAGAUUAGAAUUAUGGUGACCAAUUUGUUUUAGAAAGAGUGAGAAGAAAAUUUGCUUUUUGGAAGGUUUAAGUUGGAUUGUGCUUAAUUCCCAUCCGUUUGCCUAGAUCCAAAGGUGCCUUGUAAAGCAUCAUGGAAUUUAUAUUAAAGCAUAAAUAGGACUCACCCCACUAAAAAGGGUACCGAUGAAGCGGAGAUCAUUACUUGUUGGUUGAAAGAUCAAUGUCUGGGAAGGCAAAUCGAUUCGAACACACUGUGUAAAAAUUAACAUAAAAAGAGCCGUAUUAUGUUACUUUUUAGAUCAUAGAGAGUGACAUAGAAUAUAUAUAUAUACAUAUAUUUAUAUGUACUAACAAGUUCUCUUUUUCUGAGUUGCUCAUAUACUAUGUGUUGAGCCGUAACAUCAAUGAUCAUAUUCUCGCAGAACUCUGCUUGAGAUGUCCUGUUGCAAAAACAAAAGAAAAUAAUAGUACGAGAAAUAUUGUAUAAGCAUAUACUUAUCAAAUGGAUGAGAUUGUUUUUUAUAUUGAUUAGUAGAUGUGCUAAUCCUGUAAUUAUACUUACGCUCUUUUGAGUCGGAAAUUUGAUAAUACAUGACCCAUCUGCAACUUCUGUGGCCACAGCGCAGCAAGACUAGAUACAUUUAAAGAGAGAGAUAGAUAAAGUGAGGAAACAAUAUCAAUCUUUUGUAUAAAGAUAUCAAUAUUGAAUAUAUAUAGAAUGAAUAUUGACUAAAAUGGAUUAAUUUAAACAUACAUUGCUGGAGCUGUAAUUUUCUUGUAAGCCUGUUACACAAGGAAUAAAAAAUUCAAUAUAAUUCAGCUUUUGGUUCCUGUUCU